UCCAUCAAAAGGCAGGCCAAAAGUGAC
rnacentral:sRNA from 1 species